rnacentral:lncRNA from 1 species
GGUUGGUCUUUCUCUUUUUCUUUGCUCUGUUCCCCUUUUGUGAAUGACCUCUUUCUUAUCCCCUGUUUCUUUUUCCUCAAAAAUUUUUUGAAUCUUCGGGUAAUGAGUGCCAUCUCUUCAUCCUGUUCUUCGUCUUCAGUGUCAUCAGUUUCUUCAUCUGGUGGAGCUGUGGAUUUGAGGGCAAUGGUUCUUUUCUUUUUAACUUUUUUCUCUUGAUGUUGCUUCAUGCUUAGCUC